rnacentral:rRNA from 1 species
GAUGAACGCUGGCUGCGUGCCUAAUACAUGCAAGUCGAGCGAACGGACGAGAAGCUUGCUUCUCUGAUGUUAGCGGCGGACGGGUGAGUAACACGUGGAUAACCUACCUAUAAGACUGGGAUAACUUCGGGAAACCGGAGCUAAUACCGGAUGAUAUUUUGAACCGCAUGGUUCAAAAGUGAAAGACGGUCUUGCUGUCACUUAUAGAUGGAUCCGCGCUGCAUUAGCUAGUUGGUAAGGUAACGGCUUACCAAGGCAACGAUGCAUAGCCGACCUGAGAGGGUGAUCGGCCACACUGGAACUGAGACACGGUCCAGACUCCUACGGGAGGCAGCAGUAGGGAAUCUUCCGCAAUGGGCGAAAGCCUGACGGAGCAACGCCGCGUGAGUGAUGAAGGUCUUCGGAUCGUAAAACUCUGUUAUUAGGGAAGAACAUAUGUGUAAGUAACUGUGCACAUCUUGACGGUACCUAAUCAGAAAGCCACGGCUAACUACGUGCCAGCAGCCGCGGUAAUACGUAGGUGGCAAGCGUUAUCCGGAAUUAUUGGGCGUAAAGCGCGCGUAGGCGGUUUUUUAAGUCUGAUGUGAAAGCCCACGGCUCAACCGUGGAGGGUCAUUGGAAACUGGAAAACUUGAGUGCAGAAGAGGAAAGUGGAAUUCCAUGUGUAGCGGUGAAAUGCGCAGAGAUAUGGAGGAACACCAGUGGCGAAGGCGACUUUCUGGUCUGUAACUGACGCUGAUGUGCGAAAGCGUGGGGAUCAAACAGGAUUAGAUACCCUGGUAGUCCACGCCGUAAACGAUGAGUGCUAAGUGUUAGGGGGUUUCCGCCCCUUAGUGCUGCAGCUAACGCAUUAAGCACUCCGCCUGGGGAGUACGACCGCAAGGUUGAAACUCAAAGGAAUUGACGGGGACCCGCACAAGCGGUGGAGCAUGUGGUUUAAUUCGAAGCAACGCGAAGAACCUUACCAAAUCUUGACAUCCUUUGACAACUCUAGAGAUAGAGCCUUCCCCUUCGGGGGACAAAGUGACAGGUGGUGCAUGGUUGUCGUCAGCUCGUGUCGUGAGAUGUUGGGUUAAGUCCCGCAACGAGCGCAACCCUUAAGCUUAGUUGCCAUCAUUAAGUUGGGCACUCUAAGUUGACUGCCGGUGACAAACCGGAGGAAGGUGGGGAUGACGUCAAAUCAUCAUGCCCCUUAUGAUUUGGGCUACACACGUGCUACAAUGGACAAUACAAAGGGCAGCGAAACCGCGAGGUCAAGCAAAUCCCAUAAAGUUGUUCUCAGUUCGGAUUGUAGUCUGCAACUCGACUACAUGAAGCUGGAAUCGCUAGUAAUCGUAGAUCAGCAUGCUACGGUGAAUACGUUCCCGGGUCU